GUCUGCUACUAACGAUUUUCAUUCGUAAAAUUCAAAUAAAACUGUAUGAUCGUCUGCUGCUAAGGAUUUUCGUUCUUUAAAAAUCGAUGAAAAUCAUUAACAGUAAAUGGUUUCGGCAAAAGUACAUUUUGGAUGACGAUUUUCGUUGGUUUUCCAUGUGCGAAAUUCAUUCAAUGAUAGCCUAAUGAUUUUCGUCGAUUUUCAUUUACGAAAAUCCGGAGAUGUGUAAAGCUCUUUGGUGAAGUGUACGAGGUUCUAGAAUCAUAACUGAUUCUAUAAUAAAGAAGUGAUUCGAGAACAUACAUUAGAAAACGUACCAAAGGCCGACGAUUUUCAUCAAGUGCAAUUUAUCUAAGCCUUUUUUCACAAACAGGGAGUAUAAGAACAAAAUUAUUCGGGUAAUAGUAAACGGAAGAUGUUUCAAUUAAUGCAAAACGUUAAGCGACUUUUAGUUUAAACAAGUAUUACACAGCAGCGGUAACCUACUUUAAUGUAAGUAUUUCAGUAGGAAAUUUCCUACUGAUUGAUUAAGUAGGUCGGAAAUCUACUAAAUUUGCAAUUUUCUUACUUAAAACGAGUUUUCCAAGUCACUUACUGUAAAUUGCAAAUACUUAUAUGUGGUUAUGCUACUUACACUUACCAUCCCACUUAUAAAUAAGAUGGUAAAUGGCAUUUUAAGUAUGAAACAUUCGAAAUAAGUAUGUUUUAAUUUAAGUAUCUUUAUUCAAGUUUUGCGAAACAUACUUUAUCCAUUUUUAAUACUUACAUUUAAAAGCUGUAUCAAAAUUAAGUAUCGUUUUCCCAAAUUUAAGUACUUUUUAUACCAUUUAAGUUCUUUAGAUAAGUACCUUGCACAGUGAAGCAGGUUGACUAAAUCAAAGUCGUUAAAAUUGCAAGUAUCUUGUAACUCUGACGAAUUUUAAUGAUCAAACACUACUCAUGAACUGUCAAUUGAAAAUCCAAAAACUUUUUUUGAACACAUCAAAUUCCAUCACAGGAAUACCGGGAAGUUUAUAAUGUUGCACUGUUAAAAAAGGUAAUGAUUUUCGGUAGAUAAUUGAACAUUAUUCUUUCUAUCUUUUUCUAUUUCAACUAAGAAAACGAUAUUUAAUUUAAUCAAAUUAAUAUUAGUAUAAAUUUAUUCAAAUUAUAACUAUGAACUUCAAAAAUUUUAUCAAUCGGUGGUGUUUGAUUACAGAAUUUUAGCACGUAAAAUCAAAUGAUACCAUUUCUUAAAAAUUUUUCUUAAAAUUUUUCUAUCACCCAACAGACCUUUAUAGUAUAUGAUGCUAUGUUUGCAUCAUGUAUAUCAUCGAGUGUAGCUCAGUGGUAAAGCAUUGGAAUACGACUUAGAAAGUCUGAUGUUCGAAUCCCGCGAUAUGCGAUAUAUUUUUUUCAUUUCUGAACCCCAUUUAUGGAUAUAGCCUAUCUUUAUAACCACAACAAAUUUCGAUAUGAUAGAAGUCAUUUGCUGAAUUUUUUACUAAAGAUUAUAUAAUUGCCCUAUAGAAAAAAAAGUAUGCGAAUGAAUUUUAAGUAGGCUAGACCCUUUAUUGAGCCUACUUAACUACUUACAACAUUCUUACAUGAAACAGGUUUUUUUAGUAGGAAAUCUCGUGUAAGUAUGGGCGGAAUUUAAGUAUCCAAAGCCAUGUAAGUGACCCUGGCACCUCUUAAGUAGGAAACAAUAAGUAGGGAGCCGCUGCUGUGUAUUUGUCAGUAAAAGAAAGUAAUGAUUGGCUGCAUGGAAUGAGUUUCGACUGCGAUACGGGAGAAUCGGGUUCGAGAUCCGUAAAAUAUGGUCUUAUUCUAAUUAAAAAUUAGCCUCAAAUAAAUGUACGACAAUCGUUGGGAAAAGACCCAACGAUUAUUAUAAGCUGAAAUGUAAAGCCGGUUUUCGUCGUCAAAAAACGUACGUCUCUUUUCCACCGCUUUCAGACCAUUUCUGCGUACGAAAACCACAAACAAAAUCUAUCAGUGUAGAUUAUCCACAAGAAUGGCUACAGUUGCCCACAGACUAUUGGAAUCUUUUAAGCGAAUAUCGCUUAGCAAGAGAUUUUGCCAAAAAACUUGAGGUGACCAAUGACUGUGCUGUGAGGGGAGUCAAAUUCAUCGGAGACUUAAAAGACUUCAUCCAUCAUUUGAAGAAAAGCGUCAGUAUCUAUUACAGGUUGUUGAGGAACAUGCAAUGCAUCAUCCAUCGUUGAUUAAAUCAAAUUUGAGUGUCAUAGAUAACGAUUAAUAUAAAAUUGAAAUACGUUUGUUACAUACCUAGCUUUAGUGUGCACUGUUAUAAAAACCUCACGUUGUUUGAGACGUGUAACCCUCAAAAAUCGGGAACCGAGGGGAAUGAAAUAUAAUCCGCGAAAAUUGAGACGCAAUUCGGGUAUCGAAAAUUGUGCGACAUAACCCUCAAAAGUAUAACCAGAGUUGCCGCGAUCGAUGGAAAUGAUCGAGAUCGAAGGAUCGAUCGAUCAAUUUUCCCUGAUCGAGGCGAUCGAAUUGAUCACAGCAGGUUAUCGAGAUCGAGAUCGAGAUCGAAAGGGUCACAUGAUCGAGAUAUUUCUCGAUCAAGACGAAUUUUGCGCCACCUAGGUUGAUAAUUUUUUUUUUAAUUUGUCUGCUUUUUCAGACGACGUGAAUUUAUGCAACUUCACGUGUUGCAGACUUGCAGUAACAUUCAUUUAUUCUAGAUUCUAGACAUAGCACAUAGUCAAAUCUUUUAAUACUGCAUAAGUAACGAAUUUAACGAUUGUGAGAUGAGUGUGGACGUGGAGCCUUCAACGUCAAAAGAUGAUAGGCGUAGGCCUACGCCUACCAUUGAUUUAACUGAGAGUCAACCUGCACUUGCAGAAAAGAAGAAAUAUGUAGUAUUUGUCCCACCAGAUUAUUUUGAAAAAGUUAGCAGUACAGAGAAAUCUACGAUUUACAAGUGCUUGAUGGGUUGUUUAAACAAAACCGUUACAGUGAACCACACAACUCUUCAUAAUGUUGGCAGACAUGUUGAGUCUUUCCACAAAUUAAGAUUGCCCGACUUAAAUUCAAAAAUUGAAGAACACAAAACUCAGUUUGUUAAAUAAACGUCGCGAUUCAGGGAAAGAUGUGUUUGGUGCUCAGACAGUAAUUGACAAACAUUUGGUUAACACAAAAGAGCCACCGACCUCUAAGCCCAUUGUUACUCAAGCCGACUUGGACGACAAAAUCAUGGAUUUUAUUGUAAGCGACAUGAAUGCUUUAAGGAUAGUUGAGAAAGAAGGUUUUCUCUGGCUCAUGGGAGGCCUUGUUGGAAAGUUAAAAGUAAAAAAGAGAACGUUCUUUACCGAAAAACUGAAGCGAAACUUUUCAAAUUCGAAAACUGCACUCUGCUUGGCCCUGGAAAACGUAACUGAUGUGUGUACCACCGCUGACAUGUGGACAGCUCAUCGUAGGAGCUACUUAGGGAUGACAGUCCACUGGAAAGGGGACGAUUUAAAGAGACGCAGUGCUUGCCUAGCGAUUCGCCGAGUAAAAGACAGACACACGUUCGACGUGAUUGCAAAAGUAAUCAAUGAUGUUCACAAAGAAUUCAAUAUUAUUGACAAGGUCAAUGUAAUGAUAACUGACAGUGGCUCUAACUUCCUCAAAUCUUUUAAAGUAUUCGGAGGGAAUGAACUGACUGAGGAUCAAGACGAUUUGCAAAAUUAUGACGACGAAGAUUGUGAGAAUGACGAUGACGUUGUCUACAUAGACUUAGAUCAAAUCUUUCAAGAACAUGCACAAGAACAAAUAUUAGUGGACAAUGAAGAUGCAGAUUCUGAAACGGAAAAUGAAUGCCGAGAACGAAUCAAAUUGCCUUAUCACGUUAAGUGUCCAUGUCAUCUCCUGAAUCUAAUAGCAACUACAGAUAUUUCUAAAAUAACGAAUGUGACCUUCAACAAACUGAAAAAACAAGUUGAUUGAAAAUUGCAGAAAAUUUUGAGUAAGCAAUCUCGAAGUUCCUUGGCCUCUGAUACCAUCAAAGAAAAACUAGGCUCGCUUUUCAUCUUGUACAAUCAAACUAGAUGGAAUGCUUUCUAUGACGCCAUGAACUGUGUACGCAAAUUUUCUAACACGAAAAGUACGGAGCUAGGAGAAACAUUUCGUUACUUUGGAUUGAUUCCCUUAACGCAGUCAGAAAAGGAAUUUAUUGGAGAAUACGUUCGUAUAAUGGAACCGUUUACUCAAGCACUCGAUGUUCUGCAAAAUGAAGAAAAUAUGAGUAUAGGAUGUGUUAUACCCACAAAGCUGCUACUUGUGGAAAAAAUGGAAGAGUUUUUAAUUGAUCCCACUAUUCAUCACUGUGGUCCCCUUGUUUUUGCCGUUCUUGGCGGAUUACACGCCAGAUUUAAUCACUUAAUGAACGAGCAUCAUUUAAUAAUGGCAAGUAUCUCUGACCCAAUGUUUAAAAUGGUAUGGGCUGAAGACGAUUCCAAAGCUGCGUAUACUUUAUUACUCAAAGGAGCAGUUCGACGUGUGAAGACUAGUCACUGCAGUCAGCCUACAUCUUCUACAAUUAACAUCCAAAACAAUGAAUCACCAAAAAAAAAGCGCUUCCUUGAUGGAUACAAUCGGAGGCCGUCAACUGAAAUCGACGAAGUCGAGAAAUAUCUUACAGAGGAUUCACAGGACAUCUCUUUGUUAGAUCGUUUUCCCAACAUCAGGAUGAUUUACAAAGAAUACAACAGUGGCCUGCCGUCUUCAGCUGCCUGCGAAAGAUUGUUCAGCACAGCAGGACUCAUUUUCACAGCAAAAAGAUGUAAUCUCUCUGAUUUAAAUUUUAAAAUGUUGGUUUUCUUAAAGCUGAAUGGGGCUUGUUGCCGUGAAUGGGGCAAUCAACCGUCAAAAACAUCUGGAAACAACAGAAAAUAACAAUGUUUCACUUUGUGUAUUUGGUUUACUCUUUCAUAUAAAAAUACAAGAGGAAAAAUUCAGACGAUCGAUUUGAUCGACGUCGAUCAUCAA